GUGGGGAAUAUUGGGCAAUGGGCGAAAGCCUGACCCAGCAACGCCGCGUGAAGGAAGAAGGUCUUCGGAUCGUAAACUUCUAUCCUUGGUGAAGAUAAUGACGGUAGUCGAGAAGGAAGCCCCGGCUAACUACGUGCCAGCAGCCGCGGUAAUACGUAGGGGGCAAGCGUUGUCCGGAAUGAUUGGGCGUAAAGGGCGCGUAGGCGGCCUGGUAAGUCUGGAGUGAAAGUCCUGCUUUUAAGGUGGGAAUUGCUUUGGAUACUGUCGGGCUUGAGUGCAGGAGAGGUAAGUGGAAUUCCCGGUGUAGCGGUGAAAUGCGUAGAGAUCGGGAGGAACACCAGUGGCGAAGGCGACUUACUGGACUGUAACUGACGCUGAGGCGCGAAAGUGUGGGGAGCAAACAGGAUUAGAAACCCCUGUAGUCC
rnacentral:rRNA from 1 species